UUUAAAUUUAGAGUUUGAUCCUGGCUCAGGACGAACGCUGGCGGCGUGCUUAACACAUGCAAGUCGAGCGAUGAAACUUCCUUCGGGAAGUGGAUUAGCGGCGGACGGGUGAGUAACACGUGGGUAACCUGCCUCAAAGUGGGGGAUAGCCUUCCGAAAGGAAGAUUAAUACCGCAUAAUAUGAGAGAAUCGCAUGAUUUUCUUAUCAAAGAUUUAUCGCUUUGAGAUGGACCCGCGGCGCAUUAGCUAGUUGGUAAG
rnacentral:rRNA from 1 species